UGAGUGUCAUUACGCAGGUAUGAUGGCGGGCUGGAACCUCUCGGGGUUACAGCCUUGCUGAAUUAUUCACCCUUGUCUUUUGCGUACUUCUUGUUUCCUUGGUGGGUUCGCCCACCACUAGGACAAACAUAAACCUUUUGUAAUUGCAAUCAGCGUCAGUAACAAAUUAAUAAUUACAACUUUCAACAACGGAUCUCUUGGUUCUGGCAUCGAUGAAGAACGCAGCGAAAUGCGAUAAGUAGUGUGAAUUGCAGAAUUCAGUGAAUCAUCGAAUCUUUGAACGCACAUUGCGCCCUUUGGUAUUCCAAAGGGCAUGCCUGUUCGAGCGUCAUUUGUACCCUCAAGCUUUGCUUGGUGUUGGGCGUCUUGUCUCUAGCUUUGCUGGAGACUCGCCUUAAAGUAAUUGGCAGCCGGCCUACUGGUUUCGGAGCGCAGCACAAGUCGCACUCUCUAUCAGCAAAGGUCUAGCAUCCAUUAAGCCUUUUUUUCAACUUUUGACCUCGGAUCAGGUAGGGAUACCCGCUGAACUUAAGCAUAUAUUAAGGCGGAGGAAUUCCGUAUGCGAUCUGAGGGGGCUGCAACUCUCGGGGUAAGCUUGCGAAUUAUCCCUGUCUUGGUAUUCUGUUCGGGGGGGUUCCCUGGAAAUACUUUGUAAUACCCCCGUAAAUUAUAAUACUCAAGGACUUGGGUGGCUCAAAAAAGCAAGGAAGAAGGGAAGUAAAUUGGAUUAAUUUAAACGCCUGGUUAAGGGGGCG
rnacentral:rRNA from 1 species